GGUUAUGGCUCAGUGGUAGAGCACUUGCCUAGGUUGAGUGAGGCCCUGGGUUCAAUCCUCAGCACCA
rnacentral:tRNA from 1 species